rnacentral:rRNA from 1 species
UGGUGGAGUGAUUUGUCUGGUUAAUUCCGUUAACGAACGAGACCUCAGCCCAUUAAUUAGUUGCGUUUCUCAAUCACGGAUUGGGCCAACUUCUUAGAGGGACUAUCGGAUACACAGCCGGUGGAAGUAUGAGGCAAUAACA